rnacentral:rRNA from 1 species
CCUACGGGUGGCAGCAGUGGGGAAUAUUGCGCAAUGGGCGAAAGCCUGAAGCAGCGACGCCGCGUGAGGGAUGAAGGUCGGCGGAACGGAAACCUCUGUCAGCAGGGAAGAACGGUCACGGGGCUAAUCAGCAGUGAAUUGACGGUACCUGCAAAGGAAGCACAGGCUAACUCCGUGCCAGCCGCCGCGGUAAGACGGAGGGGGCGAGCGUUCAUCGGAAUUAAUGGGCGGGAAGGGCGCGGAGGCGGUAUGUCAAGGCAAGGGUGAAAGCCCCGCGCUCAACGUGGGAACUGCCUUUGAGACUGGCAACCUGGAGUGUGUGUGAGGUAAGUGGCAUUCCCGGUGU